rnacentral:misc_RNA from 1 species
UACAGAGGCCCCGAGCGUUAUCCGGAAUCAUUGGGCGUAAAGCGUCCGCAGGCGGAAUGGUAAGUCUACCGUUAAAUCCGACAGCUCAACUGUCGAGGUGCAGUGGAUACUGCCAUUCUUGAGGCAGGUAGAGGUAGGCGGAACUCAUAGUGGAGCGGUGAAAUGCGUUGAUAUUAUGGGGAACACCAAUUGCGAAGGCAGCUUACUGGACCUGUCCUGACGCUCAUGGACGACAGCGUAGGGAGUGAACGGG